rnacentral:lncRNA from 1 species
CUCACUUCACCAGGUGAUCGUCUCAAGCACAAAACCGAAGCAACGACCACGAAGCCAACUGACUUCCCCACCCCCUACUCCCCUCUAGAUCUCCCUUCCCUCCACUUCCCAGAUCCACCCCCACCUCGUCGCCGGCCGCCGGCGCAAUGGCCGCGCCACCCCCCACCACUCCGCGCCUCCUCCUCUCGCCGACCUCCAAGGACUUACUCACCGCCGCCGCCUUCCCCUCGCCACCCUCCCCAACCUCCGACNNN